AUGAGGUCCAGUUUGACUCGCCAGCUCUGCGCAGCUGGCUUCCUACACCAGCUCCAUGGAGAAGAGUUUCCAUUUCCAAGACCAGAGAGGGGAGGCUGUGGAAUUUUUGGCCAGAGAACCCCAAGAGCGCAUGAGUCAGCCCUGAGGGCCCAGCUGCCCAAUCCAGGAGCUGGAAACUGGCUUCCCCUCUGGACUGAAUUCCUCACUCCCUGUCUCUUCUCCUCCUGCUGCUUCCAGCCAAGCCUGAGCCCCGACCCCACCCUUAGCCUGCUGACAAAGCCACCCCCUGGCCUCUGAGGAAAUGAAGAAGGAAUUCAUAGGGCCUGGACUCCAUCUCAGGCCUGUCCGUGCUGAUUGUGCUCGGCCGCCUCUCCAGUGGACUCUGAACUCUCUGCUUAGCGCCUGUGGGAACGACAAUGGAAGGAUAAGACCCCCUCCGGACAGGGGAACAUUGAAGAUCGUAUCCAGGUUACUCAUCGCCUAAGAGAAAACAUACUCUAAUCACCCCUGCCUCCAGACAGUAUCUAUCGGAAUGUAAGCACAGGCUUAUCGGUUAUUAACUGGUUGGAAUGUAACUGCGGGCUUAUUGAUUAUUAACUGUUUGAACACAUAACAUGUGAAUGAUGGGGUUAUUGUGAUUGUAUUUACCCUUCCUUUGUAAGCCUCAAGGGAUUUGGAGUGGUGGGUUUGGACACGUAUACAUUGGGUAUAAAAGAUUUUCACAAAUGCUGGUCGGGGUCCUUGACCAAGAGGAGACUCUGCCUUGGGCCCGCUGGUGUAAUAAACUGCACUCCACUAUC